rnacentral:lncRNA from 1 species
GGAUGAGUGUAUGACUGAGAUAGCAUGGGGGUACCUCCUAGGGCUUCCCAUAUCUCUUAGCUGCUCACUGGGUUUUCAACUCUUCCUGGCUUCCUUCUGUUCCAGAGCCUGAGUUCUAAGUGUCAGAAAUAAUGGACUGGUGCAUAGGCAACACUGAGAUCUGCACACGUCUAACAAGCUCUCCAGUGAUGCCAAUGCUGCUCAUCUGAGGACCACACUUUGAGCACCAAAGAGCUAGAGUUUUCGCUUCUGCCUACCCCUACUUCCAAGGGAGCCAACAGACUCUGAGGCCUGUGUUCACUCCUUCUCUAGCAGAGCCAACAGACCCAGGUGGAGAAAAUCUACAUGCAACAAGAUUCAUAAGGAACUAGAAGAGAGGGGAAGUGCCUUUUCAGAAUACGGAGGGAAGUGGUGACACCAGUAGGAUGAAGGGAUAAAAGAGGAGAGGACUGUAGGCAUUGCUGGAGAGAAUGGAGAGAAUGUAGGACAGCAGGCAGGGCUCUGUGCUUGGCAUCCUUUCUCCAGAGGCCCCGGUGGGAAGGAGGUCUUCCUCCUUCAAGUAGUGCAAAGGAAUGAAGUAGUUGCAUUGGAGGUUACAGGGGUACUAGGUGGCAUGCCCUUUUAAGACCAUGUGUCCUUGAGGCUCCUUGUCUAGGCUACGUGCCAACACUCAUGAUGAUAACACAUGAUAAUAAUCCUGGGCUUGGUUAACCCAGCUGUUUUUGAAUGGGUGAGUUAGCACAAAGUCCCUCAUGGUCUGAGGGAACACGGAAGCCCUUGGGGAGGCGGGGGGCUCUGGUCCUUGGAAUGCAGGUCAUAUAGGGACAGUCCCCCUUGGUAAGCACACAGCCUUUGUUCCUUUGCCUACUUAAGCAAGCAUCUCUCAGGGAGCAGUAGCAGGUGCACAUCUCGGGUCCACUGGACUUUCCCUGUAAGUAACUCCCCGAUAAAAACUUAUGUCUCGUUCACCAUCUCUGGGUCUUUUCUUUGGUCUCUUGGCAACCUGUCCUGCACUGCUCACCUAGCUGGGCAUGUAGCAGAACAGAGGCUCGGUGACCAGUCUUAUGUCCCCCACUUCCUAGUCCUUUGUAAUUGGCACUUUUCACUUGAAAUCUUGAAUGAAGAACUACUUAAACCAUUCUUAG